CCUACGGGUGGCAGCAGUGAGGAAUAUUGGUCAAUGGGCGGAAGCCUGAACCAGCCAAGUCGCGUGAGGGAUUAAGGCCCUGCGGGUCGUAAACCUCUUUUGCCGGGGAGCAGGGGGCCGGACGCGGCCGGACCGGGAGAGGACCCGGAGAAAAAGCAUCGGCCAACUCCGUGCCAGCAGCCGCGGUAAUACGGAGGAUGCGAGCGUUAGCCGGAUUUAUGGGGUUGAAAGGGUGCGUAGGCGGGCAUUUAAGCCGGCGGUCAACUGUCGGGGCUCAACCCCGGCCUGCCGGCGGAACGGGGUGCCUUGAGUGGGCGAGAAGUAUGCGGAAUGCGUGGUGUAGCGG
rnacentral:rRNA from 1 species